CCAUUGGCCAAACAUAUAUGCAUUGUUUCAAUCAUGUUGAAGGUCUAAUCUACAAUAACACUCUCUUGGAUAAUUUUUCACACAAAAAAUAAAAUGUAGAAAAAGAUGAUCACAUGAGUACUGAUUAUGGUUUUAACUUUUUUUUUUUUGGUAUCAAUGUUAAGUAUUUAUACCAUUUUCGAAGUUAUGACAGAAGUUACACGGAAUACAUGUAGCGGAAAAAUAAAUCUACAGAAAGCACAGACAAAAACAAACAGUAAUAGUGGUUAACGUUAACUAAAAGCGGAAACAAGAGAAAAAACACCGAUUCCGAGAAGCUAAACUCAGAAAUUUGCGUGAUUUCCACAACUCGAAGAUACCAAAGAGUUGGAGUCCCAUCGUAGUUGCCACGAGCAAACUUUAGCAGAAGCCCGUCCACAAAACCUCUUAAUAAAGCGCCUACAGCUUCUCCGCAAACUAACGCAAAAACGCAAAGACAACAGAGGACUAAAACACAAAUCCGACGGUUACAGGGAUAACCAAAGAAACUACCUUCAGUCACCAUUCCUAUCAAAACAAUAGGAACCAUCUCCCACGGAUAAAUGAUGCCUCGAAGACCAACGCGCCGCCUCUAUUCUUCCCUUAAGACUCCACUCCGACAUGACGCAUAACAUCACUGUUGUCUAAGUACAAAACAACAACAACAAAAGACACCACAAGCUCCAACUUCGAGCAAAAACGAUGAAGAAUCGAGGAGGCUUUACGAAGAGCAGAAAAAACAAAACUAAGGCGAUGCACCACCUGAUUUCUAGA
rnacentral:sRNA from 1 species